rnacentral:lncRNA from 1 species
CCCUCAACGCUCUAUAACCGAUGUGAUCGCGCUCAUCGAGUGUUCUACGGGCUGAUUCGGAUGGCAUCAUCAUCUCUUCAUCCUCAAACAACAUGUCUCCAACAUGUCCAAUGUUGUUGUCAUUGCUCCCUUGAACCUUAAAGGCCAUGGUGGUAGAGUCCAAGUGUGAGAACGACGACUCUGCUACCAUGGCCAUAGCUAGGGUUAAUAGGAGCACGACCGCCAAUCUUGACCUAGUAGCCAUCUUUUAGGUCGGAUUGUAAAUGAAACAAUGUGGUGAGCGCGAGGUAAAGAGGUGUGAAAUCAACUCGACUUUUGUUUUUCCUAUGAUCUCCUUUCCUUUUGAGGUGAAAGAUGAGGAAAGGAAGAGUGAAGGUAAAGAGGAAAGAGGGUGAAGUUUAUUGUGUUUCAAGUUACAAACUUGUGGUUUGGGAAUUUUUUGUGAUGUAGAGUAAAUCACGUAAAGUAUAAAGAGGUGGCAAAUGUGCUAAGUAUGGGCUAAAUGAUAAAUCAAUAGGCGGUCUUGGUUCUAUU